AAAAAAGGAGGAGGUUCUCAAUUCGACUGUAUUUUUUUUUUUUUUUUUUUAUGUAUGUUACAUCAGAACUUUUGACCGGGUAGACCGAUUUCGACAAAUUUUGUUUUAAUCGAAGGGUUGUGUGUGCCAAUUGGUCCCAUUUAAAUUUAUUUGAGAUCUAACAACUACUUUUCGAGUUAUAUCUAAUAAUGCGUUUUUACUUGACGCUUUUUUCGUCGACCUACUUUGUAUUAUACCGCAUAACUUUCUACUAGAUGUACCGAUUUUGAUAAUUCUUUUUUUGUUGGAAAGAGGAUAUC
rnacentral:misc_RNA from 1 species